rnacentral:rRNA from 1 species
GACAGAGGCCUCGAGCGUUAGGCGGAAUCACUGGGCUUAAAGCGUGUGUAGGCGGAUCGUUAAGUGCCUUGUGAAAUCCCACGGCUUAACUGUGGAACGGCUGGGCAUACUGGCGGUCUUGAGCCAUCUAGGGGCGACUGGAACAAACGGUGGAGCGGUGAAAUGCGUAGAUAUCGUUUGGAACGCCAAUGGUGAAAACAGGUCGCUGGGGAUGAGCUG